AGAACGAACGCUGGCGGCGUGCUUAACACAUGCAAGUCGAGCGGAAAGGCCCUUCGGGGUACUCGAGCGGCGAACGGGUGAGUAACACGUGAGUAAUCUGCCCCUAGCUCUGGGAUAGCUCCGGGAAACCGGGAUUAAUACCGGAUACGACCACCUUAGACAUCUUUUGUGGUGGAAAGAAUUUCGGCUAGGGAUGAGCUCGCGGCCUAUCAGCUUGUUGGUGGGGUAACGGCCUACCAAGGCGACGACGGGUAGCCGGCCUGAGAGGGCGACCGGCCACACUGGGACUGAGACACGGCCCAGACUCCUACGGGAGGCAGCAGUGGGGAAUCUUGGACAAUGGGCGCAAGCCUGAUCCAGCCAUGCCGCGUGAGUGAUGAAGGCCUUAGGGUUGUAAAGCUCUUUCGACGGGGACGAUAAUGACGGUACCCGUAGAAGAGCCCCGGCUAACGUUCGUGCCAGCAGCCGC
rnacentral:rRNA from 1 species